rnacentral:rRNA from 1 species
CACGUAGGCGGAUCAGUCAGUCAGGUGUGAAAUCCCUCGGCUUAACCGAGGAACUGCGCCUGAUACUGCUAGUCUUGAGGGCAGGAGGGGAGAGUGGAACUCUUGGUGGAGCGGUGAAAUGCGUAGAUACCAAGAGGAACGCCGGUGGCGAAAGCGACUCUCUGGCCUGUUUCUGACGCUGAGGUGCGAAAGCUAGGGGAGCAAACAGGAUUAGAUACCCUGGUAGUCC